CCAAAUCCAACGGCUCAUUCUCUUCCCCUUUUCCUUUAUAUCUUCCCCUUCCCCUUCCCCCUUUUCUCCUCACCGAACACAAAACAGAAAUCAAAUCUUCUUCUUCUUCUUCUUCUUUUUCUCAAACUCUUUCUCUCAUAAUCCCAAUGGCUUCAAGAAGCUUCCUCGUUCUUCUUCUAGUGCUCGCUUUGGUAGCCUCUUCCGCUACGGCAGGGCAUCAUCAUUCACACCCCAAGUCCCCGGCCCCUGCACCUUCUCCAGCCGUUGUGGAAGCUCCGUCGGUUCCGCCGUCUUCGAUUUCCGGGACUCCUGUUGAGGCGCCUGCUCCGGCAGCAAACGGCGCUGGUCUUGUUUCUGGAUCAAUGGCUGUUAGUGUUGGGAUCUUUUUUGCUGCUGCUUUGUUUGUUUAGAUUCUUUUUUCUUGACUAAUAUUGGUUUUUGUUUACGACGAUGGAAUUUAGUUAUUUGUUUUAUCAUAUUUAUUUGAUUUUAUUGGUUUAUAUCACAGUUUGAUUAUGAGUAUCAGAUUUAAUUCUGUGUUUAUUUUGGUUUUGUUCAAUUUAUUUAGUUAUAUAGAUUGCUCAAACUUUCCAUUUAACUGCUGAGGAUGAAAGUACACCAAAAUGGAAAAGAAGUAUCAUUAAAAUUAUAAUCCCAUCCCUCAAUAGCAAGUUUUCUGCUUAGUUUUGUAGCAUCAAUCCAUCCACAUUUAUGUGAAUGCUUAUCAUUGAUUGAUAUUCUAUCAAGUCUAAUUAAGUUGGCACGUUUUUUGCUAAAUCCAAAUUCAAGCAACUAAAAAGCAUACCAUUUUGGCCACAACAUCGAAGUACACUUAGGAUUAUAAGUGUUGACGGUUUUUGAUUAGGUUUGAAGGUGAAAUCUCGAGUGAAAAAGGGGAUAUGAAACUGACCUUUUUGGCCUAAAUCCAUGAAACCCAUCUGAGAAAUGGAUCAUUUGCUGAAGAGACAUUUGGUUGCGGUUUGGUGAUAUUUGAUUCGGUUUUCAAAUAUAUUACAUAAAUUUUUUCAUAAUACUCGUACACAAAUUAAUUAGUCUAUGGAAUAAGUUUUGGUGAAAUUCAUUUCAUAAAACUCAUAUUACAUAAUAAAUAAGAAAAUAGUUCAUUGAUUAUGUAACAAAGUAUUUAUGUAUGAACACUACACAACAGCUGAUCAAAUUAUUCCAACAAUUAUUUGAAAUUGAUUGUAGUAUUUUACAUAUUCCUUUUUUGCAUUUAGUCCAAAUAAAAAGGUAAGCAAUAAUAUAGUAUGAGUUGGAUUCUUUUGGAUAUAUAUUUAUGUAAUUUUGUUUGUGUAGGUGGACUUCUCAUAUCAUAUAUAUAUAUAAUUCAUUUUUGUAUCAUAUAACGAACUUAGAGGAUGAAUGUCCAUUUUGUUGUACAUACGAUAAUAUAAAUCUUGACAUUAUUUUUUUGUAAUUGAAACAUUUUUAACUGUUUAACUUAAAAGAUAAACCAUUUAAAAAAAAACUUAAUUUUUGAUAAUUACUCAAAAUUACGCCAAACAUACAAUAUAAAAUAGGAGUUUUUGAAUUUCUUUAUUCUCUAAUCAACUUAAUUGAUCCAAAUGGCCCUAAGUUGUUUUAAUAUUUAAUAUUUAAUAUUAAUAUAAAGUUUUUUUAUAAAAAAAAUUUGAACAAAACCAUUAAAACAAUUAUAGGUUCAUUUUAUUGAAACCAUUGGCAGCCAAAUUUGCUGUAAAAUGGAAAGCCCAAAUUCCUUAAAUAUAAACCAAUGUUGUAUAUAUGCAAAGAAAUUUUGGACAUAUAACAAUCACAUUAAUUACAAUUCAAAAAAGGGAAAAUACAACCACAUUUCAGAAGAAAAAAAAAAUCUAAAAUCAUAAAGUUAGAUUUGUAAAUAAAUCUUUGUAGAUAUUCAACCACUAAAUUUAUGCUUUUAGAAUUUGUCCCCCAAGAUUUCUUUCUAUAUAUGUACACAUGAUUUUGUUCAAUAUGUAAUUGAAAAGAUUCAAUUAUAGAAAGAUUUUCUAAUAAACCUUAGAAAUUUUGCUUUAUAUAUAUAUAUAUAUAAUUUAAAAUUAUUUGGAGGUAGAAAUUCAAAUAAUUAAGAGAGGUUAGAUUUGAAAAUGUGAUUGAAAAUACAUAACUAAAUUGAAUAAUUUGAUUUGGGAUUAAUUUUUUAUAUAGAUGAUUUUCAGCAACCAAAAAUAAAUAUGAAGUGAAUGAAAUUAAAAUAGAGAAAGUAAUUGAUGGAUAAAAUGAACAAAAUAAUGUAAAAUGAAGAACAAUUUGAAUUCAAACAUUGAUAACAUAUUUAAACAAAA
rnacentral:lncRNA from 1 species